GUGUGAGGUAGUGUGCAGUGUGUGGCAGCAUGGUGUGAGAUAGCGUGCAGUGUGUGACAGCAUGGUGUGAGGUAGUGUGCAGUGUGAGGUAGUGUGCAGUGUGUGACAGCAUGGUGUGAGGUAGUGUGCAGUGUGUGACAGAAUGGUGUGAGGUAGUGUGCAGUGUGAGGUAGUGUGCACUGUGUGACAGAAUGGUGUGAGGUAGUGUGCACUGUGUGACAGAAUGGUGUGAGGUAGUGUGCAGUGUGAGGUAGUGUCCAAUGUGUGACAGCAUGGUGUGAGGUAGCAUGCAGUGUGUGGCAGCAUGGUGUGAGAUAGCGUGCAGUGUGUGACAGCAUGGUGUGAGGUAGUGUGCAGUGUGAGGUAGUGUGCACUGUGUGACAGAAUGGUGUGAGGUAGCGUGCAGUGUGUGGCAGCAUGGUGUGAGAUAGCGUGCAGUGUGUGACAGCAUGGUGUGAGGUAGUGUGCAGUGUGAGGUAGUGUGCACUGUGUGACAGCAUGGUGUGAGGUAGUGUGCAGUGUGUGACAGAAUGGUGUGAGGUAGUGUGCAGUGUG
rnacentral:lncRNA from 1 species